GAGUUUGAUCUUGGCUCAGAUUGAACGCUGGCGGCAUGCCUUACACAUGCAAGUCGAACGGCAGCAUGAUCUAGCUUGCUAGAUUGAUGGCGAGUGGCGAACGGGUGAGUAAUACAUCGGAACGUGCCCUGUAGUGGGGAUAACUAGUCGAAAGAUUAGCUAAUACCGCAUACGACCUGAGGGUGAAAGUGGGGGACCGCAAGGCCUCAUGCUAUAGGAGCGGCCGAUGUCUGAUUAGCUAGUUGGUGGGGUAAAGGCCCGACCAAGGCGACGAUCAGUAGCUGGUCUGAGAGGACGAUCAGCCACACUGGGACUGAGACACGGCCCAGACUCCUACGGGAGGCAGCAGUGGGGAAUUUUGGACAAUGGGCGAAAGCCCGAUCCAGCAAUGCCGCGUGUGUGAAGAAGGCCUCGGUUGUAA
rnacentral:rRNA from 1 species